GACGAACGCUGGCGGCGCGCUUAACACAUGCAAGUCGAGCGAGAACCAGGACUUCGGUCCUGGGGAGAGCGGCGAACGGGUGCGUAACACGUGAGCAACCUGCCCCGAAGACCGGGACAACCCGAGGAAACUCGGGCUAAUACCGGAUGCCUUCACCGGAUCGCAUGAUCUGGUGAAGAAAUGGAUUCCGCUUCGGGAUGGGCUCGCGGUCUAUCAGCUUGUUGGUGGGGUAACGGCCUACCAAGGCGACGACGGAUAGCUGGUCUGAGAGGACGAUCAGCCACACUGGGACUGAGACACGGCCCAGACUCCUACGGGAGGCAGCAGUGGGGAAUCUUGCGCAAUGGGGGAAACCCUGACGCAGCGACGCCGCGUGCGGGAUGAAGGCCUUCGGGUUGUAAACCGCUUUCAGCAGGGAGUAAGCUAGUGAUAGUUGAUAGUACCACAAGAGGAAGAGACGGCAAACUCUGUGCCAGCCGCCGCAGUAA
rnacentral:rRNA from 1 species